rnacentral:rRNA from 1 species
UUCUGCCCUAUCAACUUGUUGGUAAGGUAUUGGCUUACCAAGGUUGCAACGGGUAACGGGGAAUCAGGGUUCGAUUCCGGAGAGGGAGCCUGAGAAACGGCUACCACAUCCAAGGAAGGCAACAGGCGCGGAAAUUACCCAAUCUAGACAGUAGGAGGUGGUGAAGAGAAUUACUAAGUGGUGGUCGAAUGAUCACUUGUUUGGAAUGAACGUAACUUAAGAAAUUCGUUGAGAAACAACUGGAGGGCAAGUCCUGGUGCCAGCAGCCGCGGUAAUUCCAGCUCCAGUAGUUUGCUUUAAAGUUGUUGCGUUUAAAACGCUCGUAGUUGGAUCACGCAGCAGUGUUUGGUAAUCUAGAGCGGGAGGAUGUCGGUGGCCCGUCUCUGACGGACAUGCGGCGAAUUUUGCGAUAGAUGUUGUGCCAAAUGCUGUUAGUUGCACGUGAGAUAGGGUGUUGGCCUUGAAUGAGCCGGUACCCUGGUCUUUCGGGGUGUGCCUUGAAUAAAACAGAGUGCUUAAAGCAGGUAAUUGCCUGAAUGUUAUAGCAUGGAACGAACAAUCGUGUAUAUGUGCGCGUGAUUGAGUGCUGGUCGGCCUUUGGUUGGCUAGUGCUUGAGACGCGCACGGCACCCACCAAAAUAUGGCUGUUGGUUCCAUAUACGGUGAUGAUUAAAAGGAGCGGUUGGGGGCAUCGGUAUUUGGCCGCGAGAGGUGAAAUUCUUAGACCGGCCAAGGACUAACAAAUGCAAAGGCACUUGUCCAGACCGUAUCCAUUAAUCAAGAACGAAAGUGGGAGGUUCGAAGACGAUCAGAUACCGUCAUAGUUCCCACCGUAAACUAUGCCGACCUGGGAUCAGUUUGGAGAUGUUACAAGCUCUAGAUUGGUCCCCCUGGGAAACCUAAAGUUUUUCGGUUACGGGGAGAGUAUGGUCGCAAGGCUGAAACUUAAAGGAAUUGACGGAAGGGCACCACCAGGGGUGGAGCCUGCGGCUUAAUUUGACUCAACACGGGGAAACUUACCUGGUCCGGACAUCGAUAGGAUUAACAGAUCAAUAGCUCUUUUAUGAUACGAUGAGUGGUGGUGCAUGGCCGUUCUUAGUUCGUGGAGUGAUCUGUCGGCUCAAUUGCGGUAACGGACGAGACUACAGUCUCCAUUUAAGAGAUCGAAGCAGGCGUGGAGUGACCGAUUCUCACGAUGAGGCCGUUCUACGCCGCAGGAAGUGUGGUGUAUUUUGUCGAUGAGCGUAGUUGGGCGACUGGCUGUGCGCGUUGGCAGAGUGUGCUAUAUCUCCCUUCGAUCACGCAGCACUUAGAUCCACCGAGUGUUGCCUUAUGGAGAGACAACGAGGUAUAACCAAGCUCGAGGAAGAGUGGCUAUAACAGGUCAGUGAUGCCCUUCGAUGUUCAGGGCUGCACGCGCGCUACAAUGAUGACGGCGACAAGUGUCUGCGUCGAAAGACGUGGGUAAUCUCGAAUGGUCAUCGUGAUGGGGAUUGACCGUUGUAAUUAUCGGUCAUGAAAGAGGAAUCCCUAGUAUGCGCAUUUUAUUAGAAUGUGCAGAUUGAGUCCCUGCCCUUUGUACACACCGCCCGUCGCUACUACCGAGUGAAUGGUGUCAUGAUGCGCUCGGACUGACGGUCAGCUGGGUCUUCGGGCUCGGUCGAUGUUGGGAUGAGCGUAAAAUGGCGCAAUUUCGAGGAAGUAAAAGUCGUAACAAGGUUUCCGUAG